GGGCCGUUAGCUCAGCUAGGUAGAGCAUCGGACUUUUAAUCCGGCGGUCGCGAGUUCGAUCCUCGCACGGCCCA
rnacentral:tRNA from 1 species